CAGCCCUGCCAUGACUCACACAACCAAAUGAGGACUCCUGCCAUAAAGGGAGGCACUUUGAAGGCUAUUAUUCCAAGGAACCUGUCACCUUUCAAAAACAUUUAUAGAACUCCUGCUUUGAAUCAGUGUCAAUGUCGGGAUGGUGAAUCCUCAUACCACCUGAGAACAAUUAUUUUGGGAAACAAUGAAAGUCACGUUGGCUAAGUUUGCAGGGUUCUGAUAAUGCGCCCAGUUGGCAGGCGCUCUGAGCUGCACCAGUGGGCUCUGGCUGCUGCCACCGGGACCUCCAACCCCCAUGUGGUCGUCUGUUCUGGUUGCUGCUGAGACUUGGCCAACAGCUCUAACUGAAACCUUCAACAUGGGAAGUCGUUUGCUCGUUUCAUUAGAGGGCAGUUGCCAGACAGCUGAGUUGAGCUUGAUGGGCUUGGCACCAGUGACGGGUGUGUCCGGCACAUUGCUUGGCUCCGAAUUUUCUUCAUCCAUAUGGCUUCUGCAGGCAAAGGCCUUCCAUGGCUGGUGGCCUGCUGUGUCUCAGUUCCAGAAUUCCGGGCUGGACCUCUCCCUAAUCGAUAGUGGACUGUAGCAGAUGUACUCUCUCUGCCUGGAAAAUAAGUCUUGCCAAAGGAGGUAGAAUCAUCUUAUUACAAGUUGGGGUAGUGGGGAGACGAGAGAGGCAUCCUGAAAAUAUGCAUAGGCUUUUAUUAGAAGGCAGGGGAGGGACUGUAAAAUAUUCCCCCAACUGAGAAGGUACUUUCAGACUGAAAAACAAAAGGGGGCUGCAGCAUACAAUUUAUACAGAGUUUUACUCAGGGUAACUUACUGAUGGGAGGGUGGGGAUCAGGCAGGUGGUGAUCCAGCUGCUGAGUUAUUCUCCACGAAGGCUGGACCUUAAUCUACAGAUUUUAUAGAAUGAGAGAAUGUGCAGAAGGGCAUUCUGGUGAGACCAAAGGGUUCACUUGCACCUAAUUAACAUCUAACAUUUAAUUAGAUCCUGUGGCACCACCUGUGUGUCAGAAAGGGGAGACACUAUGCUAUCUUUAACAAACUUGCAGAGGGCCAAAGCAAGCUUCCCUCCAUCUCAGCCCUGGCAGGCAUUUCUAAGGUAUGUAUAUUAAUCUCCGAGGGACCCUGAAACACGUAGCCUGGUGGAGAGUGUGUGUGUAGUGGGGUGGAGUUGGGGGUGGUCAGUGAAUAGAUAUGAACCAGACAAAGAGCUAAAGAUGGAGUCAGUAGUGUUGGCUUUCCUACAGCUUUAAAUCAGACACAACCAGCAUGAAAUCCUAGCUCCUUUGCUUAAAAAGAGGUAUGCUCUUAAGCAAGUUAUAUAUCCCCUUUGAGGCUUAGUUUUCUCAUCUUUAAGACAUAGAGUAUGAAUGAUAUCUCUAAGAACUCAUGCAAAAAAUAAGAUGACAUAUAUAAAACAUUGGAAACAUUUUAGACAGUAUUAUGGUAGCUAUUGUAAUUUUUGUUAAUAAUAUUUUUACUUAUAAUCAUUUGGAUAAGGGAGCAGUGGUGGCUUUUUUUCUCUUUCGGAUUCUACAGAGGAACUCUUGGCCUUGGUUAUUAAGAGACUCAUUUAGGCAAAAAGGUACAUGUUUCCAUUGAUAUUUAAAUGAGUUUUCCAAGUUCUGAGAGAAUUCUUUCAAAGCAACAACUGGGGCCCUGAGGAGGUCCUAGUUCACCUUUGUAUUGGCCUAUGAGAUCAGAUCAGCCUAUACAAAAGGGCUUGUCAUUGUACUCAUGGUUUAGUCAAAAUUUAGUAGCAACAUUCCUGCUAUUUAGUAGUAAUAUCCCUGCUAUAAGCUACAAGGGACUUCAAGAUGGAAUGAUUAUAUAUGAAAUAAUAAUAGUAAAAACAUUACUUACCAGAAUUUAGGAGAUACAAUUAAAGCAAUAUCCAGAAAAGAAUGCAUAGUGAGAUUUUUUUUUGUGUGUGUGUCAACUUGCAUAGACCACAGGGUGCCCAGAUAUUUGGUCAAACAUUAUUCUAAGCGUUCUGUAGGGAUGUUUCUGGACGAGGUUAACAUAUUCAUUUGCAGACUGAGCAAAGCAGAUUAUUCUCCCCAAUAUGGGUGGGCCCCAUCCAAUCUGUUGAAGGCAUAAAUAGAAUUAAAGACUAAACAAGAUUUCUUUCUCUCUGCCUGCCUGUCUUUGAGUUGGGACAUCAUCCUUUCCUGCCUUUGAACUUGGACUCAGACUGGGACUUAUAUCACUGGCCCUCCUGGAGUUCCAGCUUGCUGUCUGAUUAUCUUGGGACAUCUCAGCUUCCAUAAUUGCAUGUGCUUUAUCCUUAGAAUAAAUUUCUUUAUAUAUUCUGUUGAUUCA
ensembl:lncRNA